AAUCAACGCUGGCGGCGUACCUCAGACAUGCAAGUCGAACGAUUAAAGCUCUCUUCGGAGAGUGUAUAAAGUGGCGCACGGGUGAGUAACACGUAAGUAAUCUACCUUCGAGUGGGGAAUAACGUCCGGAACGGACGCUAAUACCGCAUAAUGCAGCGGCAUCGCAAGAUGACAGUUGUUAAAGAUUUAUCGCUUGAGAGGAGCUUGCGGCAGAUAGCUAGUUGGUAAGGUAAUGGCUUACCAAGGCUACGAUCUGUAACCGGUCUAAGAGGACGGUCGGUCACACUGACACUGAAUAACGGGUCAGACUCCUACGGGGAGGCAGCAGUCGGGAAUUUUGGGCAAUGGGCGAAAGCCUGACCCAGCAACGCCGCGUGAAGGAUGAAGUAUUUCGGUA
rnacentral:rRNA from 1 species